rnacentral:rRNA from 1 species
UCAGCCUACGGGAGGCAGCAGUGGGGAAUAUUGGGCAAUGGGCGCAAGCCUGACCCAGCAACGCCGCGUGAAGGAGGAAGGCUUUCGGGUUGUAAACUUCUUUUCUUGGGGACGAAGAAAGUGACGGUACCCAAGGAAUAAGCCACGGCUAACUACGUGCCAGCAGCCGCGGUAAUACGUAGGUGGCAAGCGUUAUCCGGAUUUAUUGGGUGUAAAGGGCGUGUAGGCGGGAUUGCAAGUCAGAUGUGAAAACCACGGGCUCAACCUGUGUCCGGCAUUUGAAACUGUAGCCCUUGAGUGCUGGG